AGAGUUUGAUCCUGGCUCAGAACGAACGCUGCGGCGUGGAUAAGACAUGCAAGUCGAGCGAGAUUUUUCCUGUAGCAAUACAGGGAAAAGUCUAGCGGCGAACGGGUGCUUAACACGUGGGCAAUCUGUCUUAAAGUGGGGGAUAGCUCGGCGAAAGCCGAAUUAAUACCGCAUGUGAUUAGAGUGGACAUCCAUUCAAAAUCAAAGGUGGCGCAAGCUACCGCUUUUAGAGGAGCCCGCGGCCUAUCAGCUAGUUGGUGAGGUAACGGCUCACCAAGGCUUUGACGGGUAGCUGGUCUGAGAGGACGACCAGCCACACUGGGACUGAGACACGGCCCAGACACCUACGGGUGGCAGCAGUCGAGAAUUUUUCUCAAUGGGGGAAACCCUGAAGGAGCGACGCCGCGUGGAGGAUGAAGGUCUUCGGAUUGUAAACUCCUGUCAUUGGGGAACAAGGUGCAUACGUUAACUGCGUGCGCAUUGAUAGUACCCGAAGAGGAAGAGACGGCUAACUCUGUGCCAGCAGCCGCGGUAAUACAGAGGUCUCAAGCGUUGUUCGGAUUCAUUGGGCGUAAAGGGUGCGUAGGCGGCGCGGUAAGUCGGGUGUGAAAUCUUGGAGCUUAACUCCGAAACUGCAUUCGAUACUGCCGUGCUUGAGGACUGGAGAGGAGACUGGAAUUUACGGUGUAGCGGUGAAAUGCGUAGAUAUCGUAAGGAAGACCAGUGGCGAAGGCGGGUCUCUGGACAGUUCCUGACGCUGAAGCACGAAGGCCAGGGGAGCAAACGGGAUUAGAUACCCUAGUAGUCC
rnacentral:rRNA from 1 species